CNCCUUUGAAGUUAGCGGCGGACGGGUGAGUAACACGUGGGUAACCUACCUAUAAGACUGGGAUAACUUCGGGAAACCGGAGCUAAUACCGGAUAACAUUUAGAACCGCAUGGUUCUAAAGUGAAAGAUGGUUUUGCUAUCACUUAUAGAUGGACCCGCGCCGUAUUAGCUAGUUGGUAAGGUAACGGCUUACCAAGGCGACGAUACGUAGCCGACCUGAGAGGGUGAUCGGCCACACUGGAACUGAGACACGGUCCAGACUCCUACGGGAGGCAGCAG
rnacentral:rRNA from 1 species